rnacentral:lncRNA from 1 species
UUGGAAAUAGAGCUGGAUGAGAAGAAAGAGAAGUUUUUCAUGCUGGAAGAAGAUUUUGACAAAUACCAAAGACAUGCAGAAUUGCUUGCCAAUGAAAAUAUGAGUCUCAAAGAAGAGCGGUCAAACCUACUCACACAGAUUCAUAGUGGACGAGAAAAGAUUUUUGAUUUGGAAGAGAAGAUUAAUUCUUUGCACAAAAAAGUCUCUGAAUUACAAAGUCAUCUCACGAAUGCUGAAACAGAGUAUAGACAGAAAGAAAUAAAGUAUGAUUCCACAGUUCAACAACAAAACAAGUUGAUAAACUUCCUCCAAAAUCACAUCGAUGGUUUAAAGAAAAAGAAGAGAACCUUUGCAGAAAAAUUGCUGAGAUCUCCCAACAAAGAAAAUCUUGAUCACAAAGUUCCCUCAACAAUAACCACAUCUGGCUUCCGACAACCAAACUCGAUGACCACAAAAACUCUCAGUCUUGGGAAAGAAUCUUGUUACCGAGGAAACUUACCUGGACUUGGAGAAAAUAAAAAACGAAUGACUAAUCCUUUAUCCGACAAAAAUAUUAAGACAACAGAGGAUGGAAAGAAUUCGAGUGCAUCUGAUAAACAGAAAAUGAUGCCCAAAGGAUCACUUUCUAAACCAGUAGUUCCAGCAAAAACAUAUGAGUUGAAACAAAGCAGCUUGCCACAAUGCUACAAAGGAGAGAUUCUACGGUUUUUUGACAAGACAGAAAAACUGCAAAUCAAUUGUAUUGAGCAAAUAAAGGAUUCGUUAUACCUCCUGGGUUGCGAUGAAGGUUUAUUCUCAUUCCGCACGCUUCCCACAGAAAGGAAGCAAAUAGUCAAAAUCUCUGGAGUUUCCUUUGUCACACAAAUCGCUCUUUGAGGAAGUUAGAUAUGGCGCUUCUGAUUUCUGGUAUUUCAUAAUUUUUGUCACUGCAAUUGAGCUAAGGACAUUUUUUUUUUUUUUGAUAUAGCUG